rnacentral:snRNA from 1 species
GUGCUUGCUUCGGCAGCACGUAUACUAAAAUUGGAAUGAUACAGAGGAGAUUAGCAUGGCCCCUGUGCAAGGAUGGCAUGCAAAUUCAUGAAGUCUUCCAUAUUUAA